rnacentral:rRNA from 1 species
UACGGAGGGUGCAAGCGUUAUCCGGAUUCACUGGGUUUAAAGGGUGCGUAGGUGGGCAAGUAAGUCAGUGGUGAAAUCUCCGUGCUUAACACGGAAACUGCCAUUGAUACUAUGUUUCUUGAAUUUUCCGGAGGUCAGCGGAAUAUGUCAUGUAGCGGUGAAAUGCUUAGAUAUGACAUAGAACACCAAUUGCGAAGGCAGCUGACUACAGGGACAUUGACACUGAGGCACGAAAGCGUGGGGAUCAAACAGG